rnacentral:rRNA from 1 species
UUAUUUGAUAGUACCUUACUACUUGGAUAACCGUGGUAAUUCUAGAGCUAAUACAUGCUAAAAAUCCCGACUUCGGAAGGGAUGUAUUUAUUAGAUUAAAAACCAAUGCCCUCUGGGCUCCUUGGUGAUUCAUAAUAACUUUUCGAAUCGCAUGGCCUUGCGCCGGCGAUGGUUCAUUCAAAUUUCUUCCCUAUCAACUUUCGAUGUUUGGGUAUUGGCCAAACAUGGUCGCAACGGGUAACGGAGGGUUAGGGCUCGACCCCGGAGAAGGAGCCUGAGAAACGGCUACUACAUCCAAGGAAGGCAGCAGGCGCGCAAAUUACCCAAUCCCGAUUCGGGGAGGUAGUGACAAUAAAUACUGAUACAGGGCUCUUUUGGGUCUUGUAAUUGGAAUGAGUACAAUUUAAAUCCCUUAACGAGGAACAAUUGGAGGGCAAGUCUGGUGCCAGCAGCCGCGGUAAUUCCAGCUCCAAUAGCGUAUAUUAAAGUUGUUGUGGUUAAAAAGCUCGUAGUUGAACCUUGGGCCUGGCUGGCCGGUCCGCCUCACCGCGUGUACUGGUCCGGCCGGGCCUUUCCCUCUGUGGAACCUCAUGCCCUUCACUGGGUGUGGCGGGGAAACAGGACUUUUACUUUGAAAAAAUUAGAGUGCUCCAGGCAGGCCUAUGCUCGAAUACAUUAGCAUGGAAUAAUGAAAUAGGACGUGUGGUUCUAUUUUGUUGGUUUCUAGGACCGCCGUAAUGAUUAAUAGGGACAGUCGGGGGCAUCAGUAUUCAAUUGUCAGAGGUGAAAUUCUUGGAUUUAUUGAAGACUAACUACUGCGAAAGCAUUUGCCAAGGAUGUUUUCAUUAAUCAGGAACGAAAGUUAGGGGAUCGAAGACGAUCAGAUACCGUCGUAGUCUUAACCAUAAACUAUGCCGACUAGGGAUCGGA